AGCCUGUGGCAGGUCCUCCUCUCCCCGCAGCACUUUCUCCCAUGACUCCAUCAGACCGGAAUGGAAACCACAGGCUCGCUCCCCGGCGCUCCUGGGCUUCCAGCUAUGAGCUCAGGUAGCGAGGCUUAAAGAAGACUUAUAGAACAUGAAAAUAUCUGCCAAAACUAAAAUUAUGCCUUUAAGAACAAUAUAGCUUCUGCCCAAAAAUGAAUUCAUAGGAGGUGAAUGGUAUUAUCUCAUGCUCAAUUCUCUCCCAUCGACCACCUAAGGAGAACAUACCAGUGGCAAUAUAAUCACAUGACUCAUGAUGGACCUGGUCCCACAUUAUAUGUCUUACAAAAUGUAUGCUCGGACUAAGCAUAGCCUUGUAUGUACAGACUGCUCUGUGAGACCAGUUUCACCUCCACCAGGUGUCAGCCGUCGUCCAAUGAACUGUGAAGACGGAACAUCACAGGGCAGAGCGUUAAUGCACACGUUCUUCAAUGUUUCAAGAAAGAAAUAAAGCACUUGUGAUGACCUAUGAAGGACCCAUGAGCAAAUGUCCUACACUACACAAAUGAAAUUCUUGACAGCUUUGAAAGUAAAUCAAUUUCAUUCACUUAAUAAUUUUCAAAUGUCAAUUCUUGUGUUAAUAUUUAAAUCUUAAUGUGAACUUUAUUUUCAAAAUUUACUUAUUUACAAAUUGUAUUUCUGUAUAAUAAUUCAAAUACACAUGUAGAUGGAUUCACUGUUGCAAUGCAAAUAUGAUUGAUAAACAUGAAAACAAUUUAAUUUGCGGAGAGAAUGUAUUGUCAUAUAUCAGCCAAAGAUACAAAUAAAGGAAAUGGAAAAAUUA